UAGGGAAUUUUCCACAAUGGGCGAAAGCCUGAUGGAGCAACGCCGCGUGAGGGAUGAAGGUCUUCGGAUUGUAAACCUCUUUGGAGUGGGAAGAACGAUUUUCAUAUUAAUAGUAUGGAGAAGUGACGGUACCACUAGAACAAGACACGGCUAACUCUGUGCCAGCAGCCGCGGUAAUACAGAGGUGUCAAACGUUGUCCGGAAUUACUGGGCGUAAAGGGCGCGUAGGCGGUCCUAUAAGUCAGAUGUGAAAGCUCCGGGCUCAACCCGGGAAUUGCAUCUGAUACUGUAGGACUUGAGUUCGGUAGAGGAGGGCGGAAUUCCAGGUGUAGCGGUGAAAUGCGUAGAUAUCUGGAGGAACACCCGUGGCGAAGGCGGCUCUCUGGUCCGAAACUGACGCUGAGGUGCGAAAGCUAGGGUAGCAAACAGG
rnacentral:rRNA from 1 species